AUUGAACGCUGGCGGCAGGCCUAACACAUGCAAGUCGAGCGGCAGCGGAAAAGUAGCUUGCUACUCUUGCCGGCGAGCGGCGGACGGGUGAGUAAUGCCUGGGGAUCUGCCCAGUCGAGGAGGAUAACUACUGGAAACGGUAGCUAAUACCGCAUACGCCCUACGGGGGAAAGCAGGGGACCUUCGGGCCUUGCGCGAUUGGAUGAACCCAGGUGGGAUUAGUUAGUUGGUGAGGUAAUGGCUCACCAAGGCGACGAUCCCUAGCUGGGCUGAGAGGAUGAUCAGCCACACUGGAACUGAGACACGGUCCAGACUCCUACGGGAGGCAGCAGUGGGGAAUAUUGCACAAUGGGGGAAACCCUGAUGCAGCCAUGCCGCGUGUGUGAAGAAGGCCUUCGGGUUGUAAAGCACUUUCAGCGAGGAGGAAAGGUUGGUAGCUAAUAACUGCCAGCUGUGACGUUACUCGCAGAAGAAGCACCGGCUAACUCCGUGCCAGCCGCCGCAGUAA
rnacentral:rRNA from 1 species